ACAACCUUGACCUGCCCAGUGGUCCUCCGAUGGCAGCCCUUCCCGGCGACGAUUUGGAUUCCGUCGACCCCUCUGCUGCCUUUGAAGCGGCUAACGGCAACUCAUUUGGGAAUGGUAUGAAUCAUAAGCUUUUCAUUUCAAUUCUGUAUGAUAAUAGAUGGAUUCCGUCGGCUUAUCAUGGGAGAGAUAGUGUAGUUUGUAGAACAGACUCUUAAUCUGUAAGACUGUAGGUGAAUGCGUUGUUCCUAGAAGCAACCUUGGACCUGUCCCUGGAAACAAGAGCAACCUUGGACCUGUUUAUCAAAAUUAGUUUGGUUCUUAUUACCUGAAAACUUAUUCUUGAACUGAGAGAAGCGUUCAUUAAGCUUUGACAGAAAAUUUAUUAGUGAUUAAAUGCUUGCAGGAAAUAGAUAUUUUUCCAACAUCAACAAUUAACCAAUCUAUUAUAGCAACACAUAUGCUGACCAACAGUCAUAGGCAAUUGAAGUUGGUCCAGUAGCCCCUCC
rnacentral:lncRNA from 1 species